GACGAACGCUGGCGGCGUGCCUAACACAUGCAAGUCGAACGGAGUUAAGUCUUCGGAUUUAACUUAGUGGCGAACGGGUGAGUAGCGCGUGAGGAACCUACCUUUCAGUGGGGGACAACAGUUGGAAACGACUGCUAAUACCGCAUAACGUCAUGUGGGGGCAUCCCUGAGUGACCAAAGAUUUAUUGCUGAAAGAUGGCCUCGAGUCUGAUUAGAUAGUUGGUGGGGUAACGGCCUACCAAGUCGACGAUCAGUAGCCGGACUGAGAGGUUGAACGGCCACAUUGGGACUGAGAUACGGCCCAGACACCUACGGGAGGCAGCAGUGGGGAAUAUUGGGCAAUGGGGGAAACCCUGACCCAGCAACGCCGCGUGAAGGAAGAAGGCCUUCGGGUUGUAAACUUCUUUUAGCAGGGACGAACACAAUGACGGUACCUGCAGAAAAAGCAACGGCUAACUACGUGCCAGCAGCCGCCGUAAGAU
rnacentral:rRNA from 1 species